GUAUCUCAGGGUGAGGGAUACCACUAGUUUAUGCUGUGAUUUUGGCAAGGUGUCUACAAUCUCUGACAACCCCUCCCAAUCUGUCUGCCUGUCGUGUUCUGGUCCUUUGUUUGCAGGUAAUGGGAGUGGGCGGGUAGGUGGAGCUGGGAGGGUCGUCUGUACCUGGCCAUCUGGGCGUGGCUUACAGAAGGCAUAAAGGACUGCCCCCCUGUUGCUGGAGGCGUGGUCGAGGAAAGUAGGUCAAGGGGCCUGGCAGUUCUUCUCUGCACAACUACCUGCUCAGCUGCAGCUCAUUCCAUGAUUCAACCCAGCAGUAUAUAUACCCGGGCUGGUCACCUUAUUGGUGCCAGUUUGUUACAGCAAUCCAUGUGAUUCUGCUCUAGACCUGCUAACUUCCCUGCUGUUCCUGUUGAGCUUCCAGUUCACGCCAUCCAGUCUCAUCGUCACGCUGGGAUUUCCCUCUGCGUAUCUGAGUGUAGUCACCUCUACCUGCUCACCUUGUGUCCCGGACCUACUGGGGUCUCUUCUGUCGGCCCGCUUCUAGCCUUCUUCUAGCUUCCCUGCCCCAACUCUACUGUC